CGGAGGGUGCGAGCGUUGUCCGGAAUCACUGGGCGUAAAGGGCGCGUAGGCGGCGCGGGUAGUCAACGGUGAAAGCUCAGGGCUCAACCCUGAGUCGGCCGUCGAUACUCCCGUGCUCGAGCACUGUAGAGGCAGGUGGAAUUCCGGGUGUAGCGGUGGAAUGCGUAGAGAUCCGGAAGAACACCGGUGGCGAAGGCGGCCUGCUGGGCAGUAGCUGACGCUGAUGCGCGACAGCGUGGGGAGCAAACAGGAUUAGAUACCCUGGUAGUCCACGCCGUAAACGAUGGGUACUAGGUGCUUGGGGGAGCGACCCCCUGAGUGCCGGCGUUAACGCAUUAAGUACCCCGCCUGGGGAGUACGGCCGCAAGGCUG
rnacentral:rRNA from 1 species